UAGGGAAUCUUCCACAAUGGACGCAAGUCUGAUGGAGCAACGCCGCGUGAGUGAAGAAGGUUUUCGGAUCGUAAAGCUCUGUUGUUGGUGAAGAAGGAUAGAGGCAGUAACCGGUCUUUAUUUGACGGUAAUCAACCAGAAAGUCACGGCUAACUACGUGCCAGCAGCCGCGGUAAUACGUAGGUGGCAAGCGUUGUCCGGAUUUAUUGGGCGUAAAGCGAACGCAGGCGGAAUGAUAAGUCUGAUGUGAAAGCCCACGGCUCAACCGUGGAACUGCAUCGGAAACUGUCAUUCUUGAGUGCAGAAGAGGAGAGUGGAACUCCAUGUGUAGCGGUGGAAUGCGUAGAUAUAUGGAAGAACACCAGUGGCGAAGGCGGCUCUCUGGUCUGCAACUGACGCUGAGGCUCGAAAGCAUGGGUAGCGAACAGGAUUAGAUACCCUGGU
rnacentral:rRNA from 1 species